rnacentral:rRNA from 1 species
UACGGAGGAUGCGAGCGUUAUCCGGAUUUAUUGGGUUUAAAGGGUGCGUAGGCGGCUUUUUAAGUCAGCGGUGAAAUUUUGCAGCUUAACUGUAACAGUGCCGUUGAUACUGUGGAGCUAGGAUUUGGUUGCUGUGGGUGGAAUGUGUGGUGUAGCGGUGAAAUGCUUAGAGAUCACACAGAAUAUCGAUUGCGAAGGCAGCUCACAAAGCCAAGAUUGACGCUGAGGCACGAAAGUGUGGGGAUCAAACAGGAUUA